UACGUGGGGUAUAUGGUUGGAAAAUAGGUCAGCAAAAAUUAUAGGUAGAAAAAAAAAAUCUACGUUUAUGGAGAACUUAUAUAAAUAAAGUUAAGAAAAGGAAAAUAAAGGGAUAAAAUUGGUUAAUUCAGAUAUUGGUCAAGUUAUUAUUAUUCUUAUUUUUAUUAAAUAAGGAUUUGACUUGAGAAAUCUA
rnacentral:sRNA from 1 species